rnacentral:lncRNA from 1 species
GAAAAAAACUGUCGUCCAUAAUGGCAUUCUUGUGAUCUAUCAAAUCUGGUCGAUCAAAGCAGUCACCAGAGCACUCUUAAGGCUGUGACUCCUUCACAGGACUAAGCCAGGCGUCUCAAGUGGCUAAAGAAUAAAUGCAUGAAAAUUAAGAGCCAGCUCUGCCUGCGAAAGAGAACAGGAGCAAGCUGGCUGUUGGCUGUCAUCUGGAGUCACCUACUGGGAAGUGCCGAAUCACCCCAGACCAAGGACAGGAAGGAGGCUUGGUCUUCUGGUUGAGUGAGGAAGAGGUUUCAGUUUGGUGAUGGCAACGUCCUUAAGACUUCACUUGCUUCCCUCUCUCUGUUCUUUUGAGAGCGGGUCUCCACCAAGCAUUUUAGCAGGUAAAAAAUCUAGCUAGAAUUUAAUCAUAUUAUUUUGUUUUUAUUUAUUUUGAGGUUGUAACUGCUUUAAGGUCUUAUAGCCAGUAAUAACGGUUUCCUAUUCAUGUUAGGAUGUUUAUUUAGCAAACGCUUAUAUAGCACUUACUCUGUGGAAGAUCUGUUUUAAAUACCUUAAAAAGAGAAACUGUUUUUUCUCUCUCUGUCAUUCUCAUUCUCUCUCUCUCUCUCUUUUUAUUUUCUUUGUGGUAGGGUCUCACUCUGUCACCCCAGGCUGGAGUGCAGUGGCAGGAUGGCAGCUCACUGCAGCCUCGACCACCCUGGCUCAAGCUAUCCUCCCACCUCAGCCUAAGAGAAACUCUUGGAACGGAAAACCAAAUACCACAUAUCCUCAGUUAUAAGUGGGAGCUAAAUGAUGAGAACACGUGGACACAAAGAGGGGAACAGCAGACACCGAGGCCUACUUGAGGGUGGAAGUUGGGAGGAGGGAGAGGAGCAGAAAAGAUAACUUUUGGGUACUGGGCUUAAUACCCGGGUGAUGAAAUAAUCUGUACAACAAACCCCCAUGAGAUGAGUUUUCCUGUGUAACACCGAACCUAAAAUAAAAGCUAAAAAUAAAAUUAAGUUAAAAG